rnacentral:tRNA from 1 species
GUCUGGCUGACUCAGUUGGUACAGUAUCAGACUCUUGAUCUCGGGGUCUUGAGUUCAAGCCCCAUGCUGGACG